rnacentral:tRNA from 1 species
GGGGUUGUGGCUCAGUGGUAGAGUACUUGUCGAUCACGCGUGAGGCACUGAGUUUGAUCCUCAGCACCACA